GACAGAGGGGGCAAGCGUUGCUCGGAAUUACUGGGCGUAAAGGGCGCGUAGGCGGGAUGGCAAGUCGGUCGUGAAAUCCCUCGGCUCAACCGAGGAACGUCGAUCGAUACUGCUGUUCUUGAGGAUUGCAGAGGAGACUGGAAUUCCCGGUGUAGCGGUGAAAUGUGUAGAGAUCCGGAGGAACACCAACGGCGAAGGCAGCGCCCUGGACGAGACCUGACGCUCAGGCACGAAAGCUGGGGGAGCAAACAGG
rnacentral:rRNA from 1 species